rnacentral:rRNA from 1 species
GACGAACGCUGGCGGCGUGCCUAAUACAUGCAAGUCGAGCGCAGGAAACUGACGGAACUCUUCGGAGAGAAGGCAGCGGAAUGAGCGGCGGACGGGUGAGUAACACGUAAGGAACCUGCCUCAAGGAUUGGGAUAACUCCGAGAAAUCGGAGCUAAUACCGGAUAGUUCAUCGGACCGCAUGGUCUGUUGAUGAAAGGCGCUUCGGCGUCACCUUGAGAUGGCCUUGCGGUGCAUUAGCUAGUUGGUGGGGUAACGGCCCACCAAGGCGACGAUGCAUAGCCGACCUGAGAGGGUGAUCGGCCACACUGGGACUGAGACACGGCCCAGACUCCUACGGGAGGCAGCAGUAGGGAAUCUUCCACAAUGGACGAAAGUCUGAUGGAGCAACGCCGCGUGAGUGAUGAAGGUUUUCGGAUCGUAAAACUCUGUUGUAAGGGAAGAACACGUACGAGAGGGAAUGCUCGUACCUUGACGGUACCUUACGAGAAAGCCACGGCUAACUACGUGCCAGCCGCCGCGGUAAGAC